UACGUAGGGUGCGAGCGUUAAUCGGAAUUACUGGGCGUAAAGCGUGCGCAGGCGGUUCGUUAAGUCAGAUGUGAAAGCCCCGGGCUCAACCUGGGAACUGCAUUCGAAACUGGCGGGCUUGAGUGCGGCAGAGGGGGGUGGAAUUCCGCGUGUAGCAGUGAAAUGCGUAGAGAUGCGGAGGAACACCGAUGGCGAAGGCAGCCCCCUGGGCCGACACUGACGCUCAGGCACGAAAGCGUGGGGAGCAAACAGG
rnacentral:rRNA from 1 species